ensembl:lncRNA
AUGAUCUUUUUGCCCUUUUCAGACUCUCCCAUCCAGUCCUCAUGCACAGACACCUUGUCACUAUCAUCACCCUCAUCGGACAGUAAUGCUUCUCUGAUGUCCCUAAAAAGACAGCGCAUUGAUAACGCCUUUGUGAUGUCCCCAAAAAGUCUACAUACUGAUUACAGUUCUUCACAAGCCAAAGAGCUUGUCAAAAGAAUUCUGGAACAAAAGCCUGGAGGGGAGAAAAUCCUUGCAAAAUAUGCAAUGACAGGAGAGAUGAAGGACCGAGCACACCGUGAUCUCGUCAGCAUUGUUGUUGCUGAAAUGUUUGAAAAGUAUGGACGUGCUCCCCCUAUGGAUAAAACAGCACAGUAUGCAGUGGGGAUAGUAACACUGUUCCCCUCUCUAAAAUAUCCCUACUCCAAAAAAGGCUAUGAACACUUUUUUGACAUAGACAGCAACGAGGGCUACAUUGCCUGGAAGAUUAAAACACACAGCGAGAACUCAGCAAUGGCGGUACCAAUGGGGGUAGGAGAAGGAGCUCUCACACUACAGGCAGCAGCGGACCAAACUUAGAGAGAGAAGUGACUAAAGUGCAGCAGUUGGAGGGAGACCAGUGUCGUGAGGCCAUAUCUCUACUGAAACACAGCACAGACAACGAACAGAUCUUCAUGAAAAUGAGAGAAACCUUCCAGCACAGGCAAAAGUUGAUCCAUGAUCCUGAGCAAUGCAGCACAGUGCUUACUGUGUUCCCAAGGUUUCUUGACACAAAAGGCCUGGUGGCACAAGACUUUGACCUGUUGUUUGGAGCUGAGACUUCAUCAAACCUCCUUGAGAAAUGGGAUUUCCUGAAGGCCAAAGUAAUAGAGCAAGCCAAGGACAUCAGCAAGACACCCCUGCUUGACCAUCUCAUCCAGUCUGCAGAGGAGAACACUGAUGAGGAUGACGAGGUCCCAGGUUGGGAUAGUGACAUGGCCUCACUGCUACUGCUGGUCUACCUACUGCCACCACCUCCAAGUGGAAAGAAGGGAGCUGUAAAGAUCAGUACCCGGGAAGCUGUGGACCAUGUAGUCAAAUUUCAUAAGUCAUGUCGCAGCCUUCAGGAGCACUCUGGUCCAAACCAGCGGAGGCAGCCCUACAUCCUGGCAGUUGGGACGACAAGAAAGCACAUCCACGAGUUCUACAUUGCAUUGGAUGGUGAUCUCCUUCCCUGCAAGGGCAAGUCUUCCCUGUCAGCCUUUGAUGAACUUUUCAAAGCACAUUAUGUUUUCGGCAUCUCCUAUCACCAGGCCUUAAAUGGCAUGUACACAUUUGUGCAGACCACCAUCUACAACAUUGAUGUAGGUCAUUCUCACGAAACUCCCAGAGUCAAGGACCUAAGAGCUAAGCUCCUCAACUAAAGAGUUAUGAUGUUCAGAUGCUUUGUUUGCAAGUCUAGUUUUGUUACCGUUCAAAUGUUGAUCCGUCAUCUCAAAGUUUUCCAUGCCUUUUAUCCUGGUAAGAAGUUUCAGUUGAUGUGUGACCAGACUGGAUGCCACCAGAGAUUUUGGACUUUUUCAGGCUUUAGAAAACAUCUCCAUAACAAACAUAGCGCUAAAAGUCUAGAUCAAUUUGAGAACGAACCCGUCAUAGUUGA